rnacentral:tRNA from 1 species
AUUUAAAUAGCUUAUAAAUUAGAGCGUAACAUUGAAGAUGUUAAAGAAAUUUUUAAAAUUUUUAAAUA